AUGUCUUUCACCUACAAGGUUCUAGUAAUGUUCCUUACCGGAGCUUCAGAUGCCUUUCAGGGUUUCCGAGAUUCGUUGUGUGAUUUGUUUUGUCUGUUGCAUUCAUCUUUGCAUCAUGUGCAUUGCAUCAUGUCAUCAUGUCAUCUUUUUCUCAAAGCUAACUAA
rnacentral:rRNA from 1 species